CGUGAAACCGUCCAGGGGUAAACCUGCGAAACUCGAAUGAACGAACGGAGAGAUUCAUCGUCAUUCCUCGGCGCACUUGCGUUGGCUCGAAGUCCCCGGCCUCGGUCGGCGGGCACUUGUCGCGUUUGUAGCGCUCCGGGGACGGCGUGCACUUUUCUUUCAGUAAUACAUCGCGACCCGUUCGAUGUCGGUUUAAGUGCCCUCCGGGAGUUUUCGCUUCCUUCGGGUCGUGGAGACCGAGAGGUGUCACCGACCGGCCGUCGGACGGUAUAUCGUACGAAACGCGCACGCGCCUCGCGCGCGUCCGGCCCGACGCAAGGUAUCGUUGUAUUAUUCCCUCCUCCUGCCCGAGUGCGGAAGAGGGUGCGGCGCGCCUGUCGUCGCAGCCGUGCUGUCUCGGACCGUGCGCGUGUCCGUCGGCGA
rnacentral:rRNA from 1 species